GACGAACGCUGGCGGCGUGCUUAACACAUGCAAGUCGAACGGAAAGGCCCUGCUUUUGUGGGGUGCUCGAGUGGCGAACUGGUGAGUAACACGUGAGUAACCUGCCCUUGACUUUUGGAUAACUUCAGGAAACUUUGGCUAAUACCGGAUAGGAGCUCCUGCUGCAUGGUGGGGGUUGGAAAGUUUCGGCGGUUGGGGAUGGACUCGCGGCUUAUCAGCUUGUUGGUGGGGUAGUGGCUUACCAAGGCUUUGACGGGUAGCCGGCCUGAGAGGGUGACCGGCGACAUUGGGACUGAGAUACGGACCAGACUCCUACGGGAGGCAGCAGUGGGGAAUAUUGCCCAAUGGGCGGAAGCCUGAUGCAGCAACGCCGCGUGCGGGAUGACGGCCUUCGGGUUGUAAACCGCUUUCGCCUGUGACGAAGCGUGAGUGACGGUAAUGGGUAAAGAAGCACCGGCUAACUACGUG
rnacentral:rRNA from 1 species